ensembl:snoRNA
AGGUCCAUUCUAAUUCCCUGCAGGUCAGUGCCAGUACCUGCUGGGUUUCGCUUGUGGACCACAUUAAACCGGAGAACUUAAGCAUGUAUGAGCUUACUGGUAAUCUGCUCAUGAUGUAGUUUUCUGGACAUGU